rnacentral:rRNA from 1 species
GGACUCGCACAAGCGGUGGAGCAUGCGGUUUAAUUCGAUGCAACGCGAAGAACCUUACCAGGUCUUGACAUACUGUUGACAGGGUUAGAGAUAGCCCCUUUCUUCGGAACAACAGAUACAGGUGGUGCAUGGUUGUCGUCAGCUCGUGUCGUGAGAUGUUGGGUUAAGUCCCGCAACGAGCGCAACCCUUAUCAUUAGUUGCUAACAGUCAGAUGAGCACUCUAAUGAGACCGCCGGCGUAAGCCGGAUGAAGGUGGGGAUGACGUCAAAUCAUCAUGCCCCUUAUGACCUGGGCUACACGCGUGCUACAAUGGCUAGUACAAAGAGUUGCGAAACCGCGAGGUGGAGCUAAUCUCAUAAAGCUAGUCUCAGUUCGGAUUGUAGUCUGCAACUCGACUACAUGAAGUUGGAAUCGCUAGUAAUCGUGAAUCAGAAUGUCACGGUGAAUACGUUCUCGAGUCUU